UACGAAGGGGGCUAGCGUUGCUCGGAAUUACUGGGCGUAAAGCGCACGUAGGCGGAUUGUUAAGUCGGGGGUGAAAUCCUGGAGCUCAACUCCAGAACUGCCUUCGAUACUGCAUGGCUUGAGACCGGAAGAGGUUAGUGGAACUGCGAGUGUAGAGGUGAAAUUCGUAGAUAUUCGCAAGAACACCAGUGGCGAAGGCGGCUGACUGGUCCGGUUCUGACGCUGAGGCGCGAAAGCGUGGGGAGCAAACAGG
rnacentral:rRNA from 1 species